rnacentral:lncRNA from 1 species
AGACAGUCAUGUUAUACUAAGGCUGUAACUGGAUGUUAAUAAAAGGAAUAAGUGGAAUUACAUGAAUGAUAAUUAGUGGAAUUCAAUGGAAUGGAAUUAAUAUUCCAUUUGUUCCAAAACUAUUUUGAUGUGGAAUGGUUUUUCAAAAGAAUGUUGAUAUUUUUUUUGGAAUGGAAAUGAAUAAUAUGGAAUGAGAUGGAAUAACCAUUCUUUCUUUUCAUUGCAGCUGGUGAAUAUUUUAUGGAAUGAAAAG